AACGAACGCUGGCGGCAUGCCUAAUACAUGCAAGUCGAACGAAGGCUUCGGCCUUAGUGGCGCACGGGUGCGUAACGCGUGGGAAUCUACCCUUGGGUUCGGAAUAACAGUUAGAAAUGACUGCUAAUACCGGAUGAUGACGUAAGUCCAAAGAUUUAUCGCCCAAGGAUGAGCCCGCGUAAGAUUAGCUAGUUGGUGAGGUAAAGGCUCACCAAGGCUACGAUCUUUAGCUGGUCUGAGAGGAUGAUCAGCCACACUGGGACUGAGACACGGCCCAGACUCCUACGGGAGGCAGCAGUAGGGAAUAUUGGACAAUGGGCGAAAGCCUGAUCCAGCAAUGCCGCGUGAGUGAUGAAGGCCUUAGGGUUGUAAAGCUCUUUUACCCGAGAUGAUAAUGACAGUAUCGGGAGAAUAAGCUCCGGCUAACUCCGUGCCAGCAGCCGCGGU
rnacentral:rRNA from 1 species